AUUGAACGCUGGCGGCAGGCCUAUCACAUGCAAGUCGAGCGGGGUUUUCGGACCUAGCGGCGGACGGGUGAGUAAUGCGUAGGAAGCUACCCGAUAGAGGGGGAUACCAGUUGGAAACGACUGUUAAUACCGCAUAAUGUCUACGGACCAAAGUGUGGGACCUUCGGGCCACAUGCUAUCGGAUGCGCCUACGUGGGAUUAGCUAGUUGGUGAGGCAAUGGCUCACCAAGGCGACGAUCCCUAGCUGGUUUGAGAGGAUGAUCAGCCACACUGGAACUGAGACACGGUCCAGACUCCUACGGGAGGCAGCAGUGGGGAAUAUUGGACAAUGGGCGCAAGCCUGAUCCAGCCAUGCCGCGUGUGUGAAGAAGGCCUUCGGGUUGUAAAGCACUUUCAGUAGGGAGGAAGCGUUGUGUGUUAAUAGUACACAGCGUUGACGUUACCUACAGAAGAAGCACCGGCUAACUCUGUGCCAGCCGCCGCCGCUGUAA
rnacentral:rRNA from 1 species